CUGUGUUGCUCUGCAACAGACUGGCGACCUGUCCAGGUGACCCCGCCUCUCGCCUGGAAUGUUAGCUGGAGAGACACCAGCAGCUCCUGACCCACAAAGGGACAAAGGUGUAAAGAAAAUGGAUGGAU